rfam:Vibrio sp. MEBiC08052 genomic scaffold scaffold00001, whole genome shotgun sequence.
AAUUAUGGUGGGCUGGGCAAGGCAGCUUCGGCUGGCUGCUAACCUUGUGGAGCGGUAUUCCUACACCUUGUUCCAGUUCACCACCCGA